rnacentral:rRNA from 1 species
GACGAACGCUGGCGGCGUGCUUAACACAUGCCAGUCGAACGGAAAGGCCCUGCUUUUGUGGGGUGCUCGAGUGGCGAACGGGUGAGUAACACGUGAGUAACCUGCCCUUGACUUUGGGAUAACUUCAGGAAACUGGGGCUAAUACCGGAUAGGAGCUCCUGCUGCAUGGUGGGGGUUGGAAAGUUUCGGCGGUUGGGGAUGGACUCGCGGCUUAUCAGCUUGUUGGUGGGGUAGUGGCUUACCAAGGCUUUGACGGGUAGCCGGCCUGAGAGGGUGACCGGCCGCAGGGGGAGUGGCGCACCCGCCAGCAACGGAGGGGCGGCAGCGGGGGGAAUGACGGACGGGCGGGGGGGCGCCGGGAGCCACAAGGCGGGGGGAGGGACCACCGCCGGCGAGCCCGACGCAGCGGUCGCGGGUGAGGAAGGAGGAGCGACGGGAAUGGAAAAAACAGCGCAGACAAACUACGUGCCAGCAGCCGAGCUAAAACUCAGAACACCCCCCGCCCGAAC